UAAGUAAGCUUUGAUCCAGAGAUUUCCGAAUGGGGAAACCCAGCAUGAGUUAUGUCAUGUUAUCGAUAUGUGAAUACAUAGCAUAUCAGAAGGCACACCCGGAGAACUGAAACAUCUUAGUACCCGGAGGAAGAGAAAGAAAAUUCGAUUCCCUUAGUAGCGGCGAGCGAAACGGGAAGAGCCCAAACCAACAAGCUUGCUUGUUGGGGUUGUAGGACACUCUAUACGGAGUUACAAAGGACGACAUUAGACGAAUCAUCUGGAAAGAUGAAUCAAAGAAGGUAAUAAUCCUGUAGUCGAAAAUGUUGUCUCUCUUGAGUGGAUCCUGAGUACGACGGAGCACGUGAAAUUCCGUCGGAAUCUGGGAGGACCAUCUCCUAAGGCUAAAUACUCUCUAGUGACCGAUAGUGAACCAGUACCGUGAGGGAAAGGUGAAAAGCACCCCGGAAGGGGAGUGAAAUAGAACCUGAAACCGUGUGCUUACAAGUAGUCAGAGCCCGUUAAUGGGUGAUGGCGUGCCUUUUGUAGAAUGAACCGGCGAGUUACGAUUUGAUGCAAGGUUAAGCAGUAAAUGUGGAGCCGUAGCGAAAGCGAGUCUGAAUAGGGCGUUUAGUAUUUGGUCGUAGACCCGAAACCAGGUGAUCUACCCUUGGUCAGGUUGAAGUUCAGGUAACACUGAAUGGAGGACCGAACCGACUUACGUUGAAAAGUGAGCGGAUGAACUGAGGGUAGCGGAGAAAUUCCAAUCGAACCUGGAGAUAGCUGGUUCUCUCCGAAAUAGCUUUAGGGCUAGCCUCAAGUGAUGAUUAUUGGAGGUAGAGCACUGUUUGGACGAGGGGCCCCUCUCGGGUUACCGAAUUCAGACAAACUCCGAAUGCCAAUUAAUUUAACUUGGGAGUCAGAACAUGGGUGAUAAGGUCCAUGUUCGAAAGGGAAACAGCCCAGACCACCAGCUAAGGUCCCAAAAUAUAUGUUAAGUGGAAAAGGAUGUGGCGUUGCCCAGACAACUAGGAUGUUGGCUUAGAAGCAGCCAUCAUUUAAAGAGUGCGUAAUAGCUCACUAGUCGAGUGACACUGCGCCGAAAAUGUACCGGGGCUAAACAUAUUACCGAAGCUGUGGAUUGUCCUUUGGACAAUGGUAGGAGAGCGUUCUAAGGGCGUUGAAGCAUGAUCGUAAGGACAUGUGGAGCGCUUAGAAGUGAGAAUGCCGGUGUGAGUAGCGAAAGACGGGUGAGAAUCCCGUCCACCGAUUGACUAAGGUUUCCAGAGGAAGGCUCGUCCGCUCUGGGUUAGUCGGGUCCUAAGCUGAGGCCGACAGGCGUAGGCGAUGGAUAACAGGUUGAUAUUCCUGUACCACCUAUAAUCGUUUUAAUCGAUGGGGGGACGCAGUAGGAUAGGCGAAGCGUGCGAUUGGAUUGCACGUCUAAGCAGUAAGGCUGAGUAUUAGGCAAAUCCGGUACUCGUUAAGGCUGAGCUGUGAUGGGGAGAAGACAUUGUGUCUUCGAGUCGUUGAUUUCACACUGCCGAGAAAAGCCUCUAGAUAGAAAAUAGGUGCCCGUACCGCAAACCGACACAGGUAGUCAAGAUGAGAAUUCUAAGGUGAGCGAGCGAACUCUCGUUAAGGAACUCGGCAAAAUGACCCCGUAACUUCGGGAGAAGGGGUGCUCUUUAGGGUUAACGCCCAGAAGAGCCGCAGUGAAUAGGCCCAAGCGACUGUUUAUCAAAAACACAGGUCUCUGCUAAACCGUAAGGUGAUGUAUAGGGGCUGACGCCUGCCCGGUGCUGGAAGGUUAAGAGGAGUGGUUAGCUUCUGCGAAGCUACGAAUCGAAGCCCCAGUAAACGGCGGCCGUAACUAUAACGGUCCUAAGGUAGCGAAAUUCCUUGUCGGGUAAGUUCCGACCCGCACGAAAGGCGUAACGAUUUGGGCACUGUCUCAACGAGAGACUCGGUGAAAUCAUAGUACCUGUGAAGAUGCAGGUUACCCGCGACAGGACGGAAAGACCCCGUGGAGCUUUACUGUAGCCUGAUAUUGAAAUUCGGCACAGCUUGUACAGGAUAGGUAGGAGCCUUUGAAACGUGAGCGCUAGCUUACGUGGAGGCGCUGGUGGGAUACUACCCUAGCUGUGUUGGCUUUCUAACCCGCACCACUUAUCGUGGUGGGAGACAGUGUCAGGCGGGCAGUUUGACUGGGGCGGUCGCCUCCUAAAAGG
rnacentral:rRNA from 1 species